GGAAAGGCGAAAAGAACCCCGGCGAGGGGAGUGAAAUAGAACCUGAAACCGCAUGCGUGCAAGCAGUCGGAGCCCCUACGGGGGUGACGGCGUACCUUUUGUAUAAUGGGUCAGCGACUUACUUUCAGUGGCGAGCUUAACCGGUAGGGGAAGCGCAGGGAAACCGAGUCCGAAUAGGGCGCACAGUCGCUGGGAGUAGACCCGAAACCGAGCGAUCUAUCCAUGACCAGGCUGAAGGUGGGGUAACACCCACUGAAGGGCCGAACCCACGUCUGUUGAAAAAGCCGGGGAUGAGUUGUGGAUCGGAGUGAAAGGCUAAUCAAGCUCGGAGAUAGCUGGUUCUCCCCGAAAGCUAUUGAGGUAGCGCCUCGCGUCUCACUCCCGGGGGUAGAGCACUGUUUCGGCUAGGGGGCCAUCCCGGCUUACCAACCCGAGGCAAACUCCGAAUACCGGGAAGUGCGAUCGCGGGAGACACACGGCGGGUGCGAACAUCCGUCGUGAAGAGGGAAACAACCCAGACCGCCAGCUAAGGCCCCCAAAUUGCGGCUCAGUGGGUAACGAGGUGGGAAGGCCCAGACAGCCAGGAGGUUGGCUUAGAAGCAGCCAUCCUUUAAAGAAA
rnacentral:rRNA from 1 species